CUCAGCAGAGCAGUCCUCAGGCCGUCUGGGUUGUUCCUGCUCUGCGGCAGCUGCAUGAGAUCACCCGUUCUUUCAUCAAGCAGACCUAUCAGAAACAAGACAAGAGCAUCAUCCAGGACUUGAAGAAGAACUUUGAGAUCGUCAAAUUGAUCACAGGAUCCCUCGUGUGCUGCCAUCGGCUCGCUGUGACCGCUUCGGGCAAUAAUGGCCUCUCAGGCUCAACUCUGGUGGAUGGACGAUACACCUACCAGGAGUAUCUGGACAGCCACCUGCGCUUCCUGGCCUUCUUCCUCCAGGAGGCCAGCCUCUACCUGGUCUGGAACAGGGCCAAGGAGCUGUGGGAGUGCCUGGUGUCCGGGCCAGAUGUCUGUGAACU